UACAGAGGUCUCAAGCGUUGUUCGGAUUCAUUGGGCGUAAAGGGUGCGUAGGUGGCGCCAUAAGUCAGGUGUGAAAUCUCGGGGCUUAACUCCGAAACUGCAUUUGAUACUGUGGUGCUUGAGGACUGGAGAGGAGACUGGAAUUUACGGUGUAGCAGUGAAAUGCGUAGAGAUCGCAAGGAAGACCAGUGGCGAAGGCGGGUCUCUGGACAGUUCCUGACACUGAGGCACGAAGGCCAGGGGAGCAAACGGG
rnacentral:rRNA from 1 species